UUAGAAGGCAGAGUAGGACUAGGCAGUUUUCAAUAGCACAUUUGUUCUGGACAGAAGCAAUAAAAGCCUCCCAGGCCCAAUCCUGUUAAAGUGUUCUAAAGCAGGGUGCCUUGUUUCUACAGUAAGCUUGUUGAAGUGUGGGAUCCAGAGCAUGUCUGUGCAGCAGUGAGAAGGAAUCUGAAUCUGAGCACCAGAUCCUGACUAAGGGCAAGCUGAUGCGUCAGCCAGGUAUAAACGAGGCUGAGGGACAAUUACCAACUAGUGGCCAUUGGCAGAAAUAGGGGAGGGCAAAAAUCUGUAUAUCAGCAAAGAAACAGCUGACUUCCACACAGGUGAGAGAACUUUGUUUUGAAUUUAAGUUAGUCACCGGUGGCAUUUUCUCUCUUCAAACAUUCCUGACUUUUAUCUUUCAUUAUCUUUAUUCGCUUAAGAUUUGUUUUUGUAGUUAAAAAACUUUAUUUUAUUUGAUGUGAUGUGUUCAGGUUGAUUUGUUUGGGAAAUUUCACAC